CGAGUGGCGAACGGGUGAGUAAUAUAUCGGAACGUACCCGGAAAUGGGGGAUAACGUAGCGAAAGUUACGCUAAUACCGCAUAUGCCCUGAGGGGGAAAGCGGGGGAUUCGUAAGAGCCUCGCGUUUUCGGAGCGGCCGAUAUCGGAUUAGCUAGUAGGUGAGGUAAAGGCUCACCUAGGCGACGAUCCGUAGCUGGUCUGAGAGGACGACCAGCCACACUGGAACUGAGACACGGUCCAG
rnacentral:rRNA from 1 species